rnacentral:rRNA from 1 species
UACGGAGGGUGCAAGCGUUAUCCGGAUUUACUGGGUUUAAAGGGUGCGUAGGCGGAUUUGUAAGUCAGAGGUGAAAUCUCCGAGCUUAACUCGGAAACUGCCUUGGAUACUGUAAGUCUUGAAUGAAGUUGAGGUUAGCGGAAUAUGUCAUGUAGCGGUGAAAUGCUUAGAUAUGUCAUAGAACAUCUAUUGCGAAGGCAGCUUACUAAGCUUAUAUUGACGCUGAUGCACGAAAGCGUGGGGAUCAAACAGG